AAAGCAUAUAAGAGUGGUUUGUGGU
rnacentral:sRNA from 1 species